AGUUUGAUCCUGGCUCAGGAUGAACGCUAGCUACAGGCUUAACACAUGCAAGUCGAGGGGAAACGAUAGAGAAAGCUUGCUUUUUCUAGGCGUCGACCGGCGCACGGGUGAGUAACGCGUAUCCAACCUGCCCACCACUUGGGGAUAACCUUGCGAAAGUAAGACUAAUACCCAAUGAUAUCUCUAGAAGACAUCUGAAAGGGAUUAAAGAUUUAUCGGUGAUGGAUGGGGAUGCGUCUGAUUAGCUUGUUGGCGGGGUAACGGCCCACCAAGGCGACGAUCAGUAGGGGUUCUGAGAGGAAGGUCCCCCACAUUGGAACUGAGACACGGUCCAAACUCCUACGGGAGGCAGCAGUGAGGAAUAUUGGUCAAUGGGCGAGAGCCUGAACCAGCCAAGUAGCGUGCAGGAAGACGGCCCUAUGGGUUGUAAACUGCUUUUAUAAGGGAAUAAAGUGAGCCUCGUGAGGCUUUUUGCAUGUACCUUAUGAAUAAGGACCGGCUAAUUCCGUGCCAGCAGCCGCGGUAAUACGGAAGGUCCGGGCGUUAUCCGGAUUUAUUGGGUUUAAAGGGAGCGUAGGCCGGAGAUUAAGCGUGUUGUGAAAUGUAGACGCUCAACGUCUGCACUGCAGCGCGAACUGGUUUCCUUGAGUACGCACAAAGUGGGCGGAAUUCGUGGUGUAGCGGUGAAAUGCUUAGAUAUCACGAAGAACUCCGAUUGCGAAGGCAGCUCACUGGAGCGCAACUGACGCUGAAGCUCGAAAGUGCGGGUAUCGAACAGGAUUAGAUACCCUGGUAGUCCGCACGGUAAACGAUGGAUGCCCGCUGUUGGUCUGAAUAGGUCAGCGGCCAAGCGAAAGCAUUAAGCAUCCCACCUGGGGAGUACGCCGGCAACGGUGAAACUCAAAUGAAUUGACGGAAGG
rnacentral:rRNA from 1 species